GACAGAGGUGCCAAGCGUUAGGCGGAAUCACUGGGCUUAAAGCGUGUGUAGGCGGGUCGUUAAGUACCUUGUGAAAUCCCACGGCUCAACCGUGGAACUGCUGGGUAUACUGGCGAUCUUGAGCCACUUAGGGGCUGUCGGAACAGACGGUGGAGCGGUGAAAUGCGUAGAUAUCGUCUGGAACGCCAACGGUGAAAACAGACAGCUGGGAGUGUGCUGACGCUGAGACACGAAAGCCAGGGGAGCGAACGGG
rnacentral:rRNA from 1 species